AAGCGAGCGGCCUACGAACAAGAGGAAACUCGUGGAAAUUUGGAUAUUCGACGGGAGAAAGUCGUCGUCGGCCAACUUCGAUAUCACGAUGGAAACCAGGAAAUCUUGUCCCCGGAUAUAAUUUAGCGGCUUGCCGUCUGUCCAAACAAACCGCCACCAGUCCACGAGUUUGCUCAGUGUCCACGCUGUGUAAUUCGAAAGGGAGGAAGGGAUUGUUGGAGACGUUGAAUUUUCGCAAAGGAGGCCGGCCAAGUUGUUCUCGCGGGCCGAGAUCAACGUCUUGAUACGUAAUAUCGAGGCGAGGGAGGGGGAGGCGGAUGUUGGAAAGAGGAGACCGCCGCUACCAGUGUAUUUCCUGCGCCAAAGCCUCGAAGGAGAGCCGGAAAUCAGUGAUGAGAGUGUGACUGUGAGAGAAUCAAUUCCAAUUGGUGGAGAAUUGCGAAGAAGAAAUUAUUAAGGAAAUUGUCUACUGUGCUUCUUAAUUAUAAAUUUAAUCAAAUUUGGAUACCAUCCAGAUUAUUCAUGGCGCUGUUAAGAGCGACCCCUAACAGCCGCUAACAGGCAAGGGAUGAAGAAAACUAACCGACGGAAAGUGAUUUUACCGACGCUUUUAUCUAACCAGGAUUAAACCCCAACUAUGUCUGGCUUGUCAUAAUCUCUUUCUACUUGUCCAAUUACACUAAUCUAAUUGUACCAAUGUUUCUCUCGCAUGCAUUUUGAUUUUCGAAUUGCAAUUGGCUAAAAAAAGAAAAAGUAUGCAAACAAUGAACGACAGGUUGAGAUCCAAUCGAUGACGUAUCCAUUGGACACGAUUGGUGGUUCCAGAACGAGGCGCGACGGUGUAGGGAACAACGUUAAUCAGGCCGAGUAAACAGCUGGCGCUGAUUGUGCCACACACAUAGUAUAUGGGAAAUAGGCGGCGGCACACAAAGCGUGAGGAAUCUGCGAGGGCGGGCCAUCGAUCGUCCCAAAAGCUGGUGUUAUUCGGCCAGGAGGAAAGUGCUCGUUCAAGACCGCAAACCGAGCCCAGGGAUCCUUGGCGCGGACAACGAAUCACGCGUCGAGGGUAAAUUCAACCCUCCCCCCGAAUUCAGAUGCUUUUCAUAAAUCAUCCUCAACUCCGUGAAGGAUCAGAAUGAUAGGUCGUGUGCGCAAAGAUUCUCGUGCGGAGUGGAGAUUUCGCACAAUGGCCGACGAAUGUCUAAAAAGCGGCCUGUUAAUGGUCAAAGGUGCUCCGGUGGUUGGAAAGGGUUGGUCUCGAGGACGUUUUCACCGGUCUGCCGACGCAUAGGCAGGCCAACAAAAGUCGAAAAGGUGAGUGGAAGAUUCCCUUCUCCGCGCUCUGUUCCCAGGUCUCUUCCGCCCCCUCCUUUUUUUCUUUCCGGUUCCUACGUUGCUCUCUUCCCGGGGAUUUCCCUCUUCCGAACCGAGGCUGCGCUACGAGUCUCGCUCAACCGAACUGCAAUGGAAUUUGCUUAAGGGUUGAGAGGAGGAAACGGAGGAGGGUUCGAGGAGUAAGGAAAAAAAGAGUGGAAACGUCGGUGGAAACUGAAAGGGAAGUAGAAGUGGGUGCAAGGUAAAAUAAUGAGCGAUUAAAAGGGGAAAGCAUGGAGAAGAAGCAUUGCGAUUGCGUAGAAAGAAUAUAUCUGGUAGCAAUGGAAUGAAAUAUGUCGAUUUGAAUAAAGUCGAUGGACUAGAGUCAGAAUAAUAUUUAUUUAAGU